rnacentral:rRNA from 1 species
UAGUACCGUGAGGGAAAGGUGAAAAGAACCCCUAUUAGGGGAGUGAAAUAGAUCCUGAAACUGUAUGCUUACAAACUGUCGAAGCCCCAUGUGGGUGACGACGUACCUUUUGUAUAAUGGGUCAGUGACUUAAUUUAUGUAGCAAGCUUAAGCCGUUUAGGUGUAGGCGUAGCGAAAGCGAGUCUUAAUAGGGCGAUUAGUUGCAUGGAUUAGAACCCGAAACCGAGUGAUCUAGCUAUGAGCAGGUUGAAGGCAAGGUAAUACUUGCUGGAGGACCGAACCAGUUGACGUUGAAAAGUCUUUGGAUGACUUGUUGCUAGGGGUGAAAGGCCAAUCAAACUCGGAGAUAGCUGGUUUUCCGCGAAAACUAUUUAGGUAGUGCGUUGAGAUAUAGAUUUUGAGGGGUAGAGCACUAAAUAGGCUAGGGGGAAGAAAUUCUUACUAAACCUAAUAAAACUCCGAAUACUCAAAAUUGUUCCUCAGCAGACAGACGGUGAAUGCUAACGUCCAUCGUCGAGAGGGAAACAACCCAGACCACCAAUUAAGGUCCCCAAGUUAUGGUUAAGUGUGAAAGGAUGUGAAGACUCCAAAACAGCCGGGAGGUUGGCUUAGAAGCAGCCAUCCUUUAAAGAUAGCGUAACAGCUCACCGGUCUAAUUAAGAGACUUUGCGCCUAAGAUGUAACGGGGCUCAAACCAUACACCGAAAUUGUGGAUUGAUAGAAGUCUUCGGACUUUUAUUUCUGGUAGCGGAACGUUCUGUAAGCCUGUGAAGAGAGACCCGUGAGGGCUCUUGGAGGUAUCAGAAGUGCGAAUGCUGACAUAAGUAACGACAAACAGAGUGAAAGACUCUGUCGCCGAGAGUACAAGGGUUCCUGCGUAAAGUUAAUCUUCGCAGGGUUAGCCGGCCCCUAAGACGAGGACGAAAGUCGUAGUCGAUGGGAAUCAGGUAAAUAUUCCUGAGCCAGGUGGUAGUGACGGAUCAUGUAAAUUGUUAACUCUUAUUGGAUUGAGUUGGCUGUGAAGUGGUCCCAGGAAAUAGCUCCAUCAUAAGACCGUACCCCAAACGGACACACGUGUACCGGUAGAGUAUACCUAGGCGCUUGAGAGAAUGAUGUUGAAGGAACUCGGCAAAAUGCUUCCGUAACUUCGGGAUAAGGAAGACCCAAUAAUGGGCAACCAUAUUUGGGUGGCACAAGCCAGGGAGAAGCGACUGUUUAUCAAAAACACAGCACUCUGCUAACACGUAAGUGGAUGUAUAGGGUGUGACGCCUGCCCGGUGCUGGAAGGUUAAAGGGAGAUGUGCAAGCAUCAAACUGAAGCCCCAGUGAACGGCGGCCGUAACUAUAACGGUCCUAAGGUAGCGAAAUUCCUUGACGGGUAAGUUCCGUCCUGCAUGAAUGGCGUAACGAUUUCUCCGCUGUCUCCAACAUCAACUCAGUGAAAUUGAAUUCUCCGUGAAGAUGCGGAGUUCCCGUGGUUAGACGGAAAGACCCCGUGCACCUUUACUAUAACUUUACAUUGGUAUUAGAAAUGACAUGUGUAGCAUAGGAGGGAGACUUUGAAGUGAUGGCGCCAGCCGUCAUGGAGUCUUUAGUGAAAUACCUCUCUUGUUAUUUUUGAUAUCUAACUGCAUGCCAUUAUCUGGCUGCAAGACACUGUAUGGUGGGUAGUUUGACUGGGGCGGUCGCCUCCUAAAGAGUAACGGAGGCGUGCGAAGGUUGGCUCAGACCGGUCAGAAAUCGGUCGUUGAGUGCAAUGGCAUAAGCCAGCCUGACUGCAAGACUGACAAGUCGAGCAGAGACGAAAGUCGGUCAUAGUGAUCCGGUGGUUCUGAGUGGAAGGGCCAUCGCUCAACGGAUAAAAGGUACGCCGGGGAUAACAGGCUGA